rnacentral:rRNA from 1 species
UACAGAGGUGGCAAGCGUUGUUCGGAUUUAUUGGGCGUAAAGGGUCCGUAGGCGGUUUGGAAAGUCAGAUGUGAAAGCCCACAGCUUAACUGUGGAACUGCAUUUGAAACUUCCAGACUAGAGUAUGAGAGGGGUUAAGGGAAUUCCCGGUGUAAGGGUGAAAUCUGCAGAGAUCGGGAGGAACACCAGUCGCGAAGGCGCUUAACUGGCUCAUUACUGACGCUCAGGGACGAAAGCUAGGGGAGCAAACGGG